UACGAAGGGGGGCUAGCGUUGUUCGGAAUACUGGGCGUAAAGCGUGCGCAGGCGGCUGUUCAAGUCAGGGGUGAAAGCCCAGAGCUCAACUCUGGAAUUGCCUUUGAGACUGAGUGGCUUGAGUACGGGAGAGGUGAGUGGAAUUCCCAGUGUAGAGGUGAAAUUCGUAGAUAUUCGCAAGAACACCAGUGGCGAAGGCGGCUCACUGGCCCGAUACUGACGCUGAGGCACGAAAGCGUGGGGAGCAAACAGGG
rnacentral:rRNA from 1 species